rnacentral:rRNA from 1 species
GACGAACGCUGGCGGCGUGCCUAAUACAUGCAAGUCGAACGCAGUGGGGACGGGUGAGUAACCCGUGGGUAACCUCCCAUCAGAGGGGAUAACACUUGGAAACAGGUGCUAAACCGAUCCUGAUCGAUGGACCCGCGGGGCAGUAGCUAGUUGGUGAGGUAACGGCUCACCAAGGCCACGAUGCAUAGCCGGCUGGAGAGGGUGAUCGGCCACACGGGGACGGAGCCACGGCCCAGCCUCCUACGGUAGGCAGAAGUGGGGAAGCUUCGGCAAUGGACGAAAGUCGGACAGAGCAACGCCGCGUGGGUGAAGAAGGUUUUCGGAUCGUAAAACUCUGUUGUUAGAGAAGCGGUAUCUAACCAGAAAGCCACGGCUAACUACGUGCCAGCAGCCGCGGUAAUUC